rnacentral:rRNA from 1 species
GAAUACAUGGGUUUGAUCCUGGCCCAGAAUGAAUGCUAGCAACAGGCCUUAUACAUGCAAGUUAAACAUAUUUUAUAUGUAGCAAACGGGUGAGUAACACGUGAGAAUCUACCCAUAUGGCUGGUUAAAUACCGGAUAAAAAGGUGAAAUCCCUAUAUGGAUGAGCUCGCGUAGGAUUAGGUAGUUGGUGUAGGUAAAAGCUCACCAAGCCAUCGAUCCUUAGCUGGUCUGAGAGGAUGUCCAGCCACACUGGGACUGAGACACGGCCCAGACUCAAUAUAUGAGGCAGCAGUAAGGAAUCUUAGACAAUGGGCGAAAGCUUGAUCUAGCUAUGUUGCGUGGGUGAUGAAGGCUAUAUCAGUCGUAAAGCCCUUUUCAAUAAUGGGAAUUGUGAUGUCCAUAUUGGAAUAAGCCCCGGCAAAUUCCGUGCCAGCAGCCGCGGUAAUACGGGAGGGGCAAGUGUUAUUCGGAAUGAUUGGGCGUAAAGAGCUUGUAGGUGGCGUACAGUGAUAAACGGUGCCAUCCCAAGGCCUAACCUUGGGAAUGCCUUUAAUACUUGUAUGCUAGAGUAUGUAUAAGGAAAGUGGAAUGCCAUAUGGAGCGGUUAAAUGCGUAGAUAUAUGGAGGAAGACCAAAAGCGAAGGCAACUUUCUGGUACAUGACUGACACUGAGAAGCGAAAGCGUGGGUAGCGAAUGGGAUUAGAUACCCCAGUAGUCCACGCCGUCAACGAUGAGUGUUUAUUGGGUGUAAGUUUAUUUAUGCUUGAUUCAGCUAACGCGUAAACACUCCGCCUGGGGAGUACGGCCGCAAGGUUAAAACUCAAAGGAAUUGACGGGGGCUUGCACAAGCGGUGGAGCAUCUUGUUUAAUUCGACAAUACGCGCAGAACCUUACCAACCCUUGAAUAACUGAGAACUAUAAAUGUAAGUUUAUAUGUAUGCCAGUUACAGGCGCUGCAUGGCUGUCGUCAGUUCGUGGCGUGAGCUGUUAGGUUAAGUCCUAGAACGAACGCAACCCUUGAUACAUAUUAAUUUCUUAUGUAUGACCGCCGGUUAUACACCGGAGGAAGGUAAGGAUGACGCCAAGUCCUCAUGGCCCUUAUGGGUUGGGCUACAAAGGUGCUACAAUGGCGACUACAAUCGGUAGCAAUGGUGUGAACCGGAGCCAAUCCUCAAAAGUCGUCUCAGUUUGGAUUGUUCUCUGCAAUUCGAGAACAUGAAAGUGGAAUCGCUAGUAAUCGCGGAUCAGAACGCCGCGGUGAAUAUGUACCCAAGCCUUGUACACACCGCCUGUCCCAUUUAGGAAAUAGGUUACACCUGAACCUGUAUCUAUUUAUAUAACCUAUAUAUGUAAAUAUAUAUGUUUAUUGCUAAGCUUAUAUACGUAUAUACAAUUUAAGGUAUGGUCUGUAACUUAAAUGAAGUCAUAACAAGGUAGCCGUAGGGGAACCUGCGGCUGGAUCGACUCCUUUU